AUACUUACCUGGCAGGGGAGACACCAUGAUCAAGAAGGCGGUUCACCCAGGGCGAGGCUUGUCCAUUGCACUCCGGCCAUGCUGACCCUGCGAAUUCCCCAAAUGCGGGAAUCUCGACUGCAUAAUUUAUGGUAGUGGGGGACUGCGUUCGCGCUCUCCCUGA
rnacentral:snRNA from 1 species